rnacentral:tRNA from 1 species
UGCAGUGUGGCUCAGUGGCAGAGUGCUCACCUAGCAUGUGCGAGGCCCUGAGUUCAAUCCUCAGCACCACAU